CAGCCGCCGCGGGAAUACGGAGGAUCCAAGCGUUAUCCGGAAUCAUUGGGUUUAAAGGGUCCGUAGGCGGUCUUGUAAGUCAGUGGUGAAAGCCCAUCGCUCAACGGUGGAACGGCCAUUGAUACUGCAGGACUUGAAUUAUUGGGAAGUAACUAGAAUAUGUAGUGUAGCGGUGAAAUGCUUAGAGAUUACAUGGAAUACCAAUUGCGAAGGCAGGUUACUACCAAUUGAUUGACGCUGAUGGACGAAAGCGUGGGGAGCAAACAGGAUUAGAUACCCCUGUAGUCCCUGUCUCUUAUAC
rnacentral:rRNA from 1 species